rnacentral:rRNA from 1 species
GGUGAACCAGCGGGAGGGAUCAUUA